UCCCUCAUAGCUCAGUCAGUAAAGCAUCUGCCUGCAAUGCAGGAAACCUGGGUUCGAUUCCUGGGUUGGGAA
rnacentral:tRNA from 1 species